rnacentral:misc_RNA from 1 species
UGAGGGAAUGUAUGAUCCACAUGUCGGAAAUAUGUACCUCAUUGGUUGCAGGGAUGUUCGAGCCUCUUGGAAAAUUCUAUCAGAAAGUAUGGACCUUGAGGCUGGAUUGGAUUGUCUGAUUGAGGUGGUUAUAACAUACCCACCAACCACUGCUCGUUGGUUGGUCAAUCCAACAGCUAAAAUCUCCGUAUCCUCUCAAAGAAAUGAUGAUGAUCCACUCUACUUUAAUCCCGUAAACAUUAAAACAUUCCCCAUUAUGUACAGGAAGCAGCGAGAAGACAUUCUUUCCCGUAGGGGCGUAGAGGGCAUCCUGCGCAUCUUGACACUCUCUCUGGCAAUAUUUUGCAUUCUCAGCCAACUAUUUUACAUCAGAGGUAAUGCGGAAUCGGUCCCGUAUGUCUCGCUUGCCAUGCUAGGUGUCCAAGCUGUUGGAUACGGCCUACCUUUGAUCACAGGUGCAGAAGCUUUGUUCAAAAUGAUGGGUGCUGAAAUCAAUGAGACUCCAUCUUAUGAUCUUGAAAACAGCCAGUGGAUUCGUCUGAUUGAUUAUACUGUCAAGGUUCUUGUGCUAGUUGCCUUUUUAGUAACAGCGAGGCUCAGCCAAAAGGUGUGGA